AGUCAGUGCUUAGAGGAGCUGCCUGUGAGAAACAUUGAAGAGAUAUGAAACCCUGGCAAUGUGGAAUCCUUGCACUAUAAUGAUAUAGAACUGUUGCAAUAUAUAAGACAACAUGGACAAGGGAUGAAGGGGAGGAAGAUGAUGCCAGUCCAUCUUGGUGUGACUUGGCAGAGCUGCAAUGGUGUUGCAUUGAUUUUGGCUUUUGAAACUCUGGUCCAUUAUGAGAGGAAUAUUGUGUAAUUACUGGAGCUACAGCCUGAGGAGGACAUGACAGUCAAAAUCUCUUUGUAUGGAGUUCUAAAGAUUGAAUACAUGUGACAUCCUGAGCUGCACCAAGGGCUGAUGAUGAAUAGUCAAAUGUGCUGCAGGGGACAACCACAGCCAGGCAAGCCAUAAAUUUAAGCUCUUCGUUCUCUGCUGAGACCAACCUACAGCAUUUAUAUAAAAAUAUGACACAGGUGCACAUUCCACCUGAAAAGAGGGGUUGACAACACUAAGAUUUCCCUGCACAGAGCCUCUGUUUUUCCUGCCAGAGGUGCAUUGCAAUAGACACAAACAUUAACAUUUUCUGCUUCACAAGGCAACUGCUGCAUGGGGAAUUUUUCAUCCAAUAGUGUGGAAAUAAAAAAUAUUUGACAGAGGCAGAGCCUGAAUGGCAUGUAUGAAUAAUCAAAGGCACCAGCCUCCAUCUGGGGUUUACAAAAUGCUGUAGCACACUGAAGGUUUUUUCUAAACAACCUCCUUGAAGUUUGAAUUCUUGAGCUUCCAGACUUCUCAAGGCCCAAAGGCACUGAAGAAAAAAAAAAAAGGAUGUACAAACAGAAUUUUAAAUAAAGCUCUCUCCAGAGAAGAAACUAAAAAAGAAAGAGACUUUUCUCCUGCAAAGGAGAAAAAGAGCUGAACACACAGGUCCUUUGUUGCAUUAGACCCUUGAACUUCUCUACAUGGUGCUAUCAUUUCCAGUGGCUUUGUCUCAGGGUUGCUAACACCAGGAAAAAACAAUCCAGGAUUCUAUCAGCCAGCUUCAUUUUGAGGGAGACUUCCAGGAACUAGAAAUCCCACCUCAGCUGUAACUGUUUUAUUUUUGUGAAGCAGCAGAACAGAGUCUGGAGGAAGGAUUCCUGUGGAGUCAGUCAAUGGAGCAGCUCCCUCUGCUCUGGCACAGACCAGCCCAGAGAGCUGGUGGUCUGUCUGAACUCAUAAACUGCUGGAGACUUUGAAAUGCUCUCUGUGUUGGUCACCAAAGCUCUUGCCUCCUGCCCAGUUGUGUAAAUCUCAGUCCUGAUGUGAAUGGCGAAACUGCAAUUUAUCAGUGACCUGGGUCUUGGCUUUUAAUUCCUAAUAAAAUCUCUGGAACAUGAGCAUGCAUCCAACAUCACCACCCAGGACACUGAACUUUGGGAAAGACUGCCUGUGUCUGUCUUCAGGGAGAUGCAAUUAAAUGAGGGUCCUCAGUUGGGUUUGAUCCCUGGAAAUCCUUGAGGGUUUUGGAUACUUCAUGAGGAUUUUUUAAUUAGGAGCAAAUAUGUAGUACCUUGUUUCAUACAUGUGGCACCUGCUGCUCAUUGCAGGCUGGAGACCUAAAGGACAGGCAGGUUGUGGUCAAAAAUUGAGCAAAGUUCUGCAGACCCCUGAGGGUAAUCCUGCCCCACUGACCUGCAUGGGAUGGAGCUCCCUGCAAGAGGCACUCCUGACUGCAUGCAAACUUUGAGAAAGGAAAAUCAAAGCCCAAUGAGUCUAUUGUGAGAAACAGCUCCUCACUUUUCAUAGUUUAGGAAGGUUUAUUAAACCUUAUCAAAAAUACAACAGAAGACUGAAUAGAGAAAAAAGAGAGCAAAGGAUUUUCCCUGCCAUGUGCUCAGCCCCCUCACAAUGGAGGUUUUCCCUUUUUAACCCUUUAACCCCUCCCAAAGUUCUGUCCAUCAAUCCCUUCUUCUCUGUCCAGGGGUGGAGAUCUCUUCCUCAAACCCUGAUUGGAGUCAGGUGUUCCAUAGUGACAAGCCAGGUGA